rnacentral:rRNA from 1 species
CAGCCGCGGUAAUACGUAGGGGCCAAGCGUUGUCCGGAUUUAUUGGGCGUAAAGAGCUCGUAGGCGGUUCGGCAAGUCGGAUGUGAAAUCUCCACGCUUAACGUGGAGGAGCCACUCGAAACUGCCGUGACUCGAGUCCGGUAGGGGAGUGUGGAAUUCCCGGUGUAGCGGUGAAAUGCGCAGAUAUCGGGAGGAACACCAGUAGCGAAGGCGGCACUCUGGGCCGGUACUGACGCUGAGGAGCGAAAGCGUGGGGAGCGAACAGGAUUAGAUACCCUGGUAGUCCACGCCGUAAACGUUGGGCACUAGGUGUGGGACCCUAUCGACGGGUUCCGUGCCGUAGCUAACGCAUUAA